rnacentral:rRNA from 1 species
CAGUAGCCGCGGGAAUACGUAGGUGGCAAGCGUUGUCCGGAAUUAUUGGGCGUAAAGGGCUCGCAGGCGGUUUCUUAAGUCUGAUGUGAAAGCCCCCGGCUCAACCGGGGAGGGUCAUUGGAAACUGGGAAACUUGAGUGCAGAAGAGGAGAGUGGAAUUCCACGUGUAGCAGUGAAAUGCGUAGAGAUGUGGAGGAACGCCAACCGCGAAGGCAGCUCUCUGGGUCCCCACUGACGCUGGGGUGCGAAAGCAUGGGGAGCAAACAGGAUCAGAUACCCCUGUAGUCCCUGUCUCUUAUAC